rnacentral:SRP_RNA from 1 species
CGUCAGGGGCUGUGCAACCGCUGUUUUAGUAAACCCCGUCAGGUUCGGAAGAAAGCAGCGGCAGCUAUUACAGUGGUGUGCCAUAGUUACUCUGGCGAGU